rfam:Allomyces macrogynus ATCC 38327 genomic scaffold supercont3.58, whole genome shotgun sequence.
GGGACGGUGGUGUAGUGGUAUCAUAUUUGCUUUGGGUGCAAGAGGUCCGGGGUUCAAUCCCCCGUCGUCCCC